AUGAACGCUGACGGCGUGCCUAAUACAUGCACGUCGAGCGAACAGACGAGGAGCUUGCUCCUCUGACGUUAGCGGCGGACGGGUGAGUAACACGUGGAUAACCUACCUAUAAGACUGGGAUAACUUCGGGAAACCGGAGCUAAUACCGGAUAAUAUAUUGAACCGCAUGGUUCAAUAGUGAAAGACGGUUUUGCUGUCACUUAUAGAUGGAUCCGCGCCGCAUUAGCUAGUUGGUAAGGUAACGGCUUACCAAGGCAACGAUGCGUAGCCGACCUGAGAGGGUGAUCGGCCACACUGGAACUGAGACACGGACCAGAAUCCUACGGGAGGAAGCAGUAGGGAAUAUUCCGCAAUGGGCGAAAGCCUGACGGAGCAACGCCGCGUGAGUGAUGAAGGUCUUCGGAUCGUAAAACUCUGUUAUGAGGGAAGAACAAAUGUGUAAGUAACUAUGCACGUCUUGACGGUACCUAAUCAGAAAGCCACGGCUAACUACGUG
rnacentral:rRNA from 1 species